GGCCGCGGGACGCUCCUGAGGGCGCGCGGAUUUAUCGCCUCCGGAGCAAACUUUCGGCUCGCCUGCCGUGGGGGGAAGGCACAGGUUUGAGCCAUACUUACUCCCUUAGCGCUGAGAAAUCGGAAUCGUCAGAGACUUGCUUGGCUGAACAACAGGUUUGAUUACUGGUUCCUGCUGGAAAGAGGAAAACCGUCCCUCCAUCCCCUCUCUUCCAUGAGUGCAGGGGGACACUGCAUAAUGGCAUUCCGAGCUUGAGCCACCUGCGUGACUGUCCAAUCAGAUGACAUAGAACAGUCUCACCAAGUGAUACAAGCUGCCUGAUGGGAUGUCAUGAUGGCAUGAUGUCAUGCAAAUACCACCAAUGGUUCAAGCCAAGAGAAUAUGGGAUCGAACUCAGGACCCCGCACUUGCAAGGGAGACGGUGGAACCACUGAGCCAAACCCCUGGCCCUAUUGCCCAUUUUUUGGAUGGAGCCUUCUAUUUUGGGGAAACUUUAAUUUUUUUAAUCCUUUAUAUUUUAGUCCUCUGAGGAGUAGCUGGUAAAAAUUUUUGGCCUUCUGUAGGUUGUUACCUCACUCUGUUGGUUGUUUCCAAGAUAUGAGAAGUUUUAAAAUUUAAUAUAGUCCCAUUUGUUGAUUGUUGGUAUUAUUUCUUGUGCAAUUCUGUUCUGUUCAGAAAGACCUUGCCUAUACAUAUGCCUUCAAGAGUUUUACAUAUUUUAUCUCCCAGAAGAUCCAAUGUUUCUGUUUCUAUAAUAGUUCUUUGGUCCAUUUUGAUUUGAUUUUAGUACAGGGUGAGAUAUAUGGGUCUAGAUUCACUCUUCUGCAUGUGGCAAAGCAUUUUUCCCGGCACCAUUUGCUAGAGAGGAUAUAUGUUCCCCAACGCAUGUUUUGACCCCUGUGUCAAAGAUCAGAUGCCUACCAGCUGCCAGUGUACCAGCGCAAGAGCCUGCAACAACAGCUCCCCCCUGCCCCCGCCCUGCCUCUGGCCUCCUGACUGUGCUACUACCCGGUUCCACACUACAGAGGCACAGGGGGACAUAAAGGCCAUUGUCCUGAGCUGCAGAAGUGAACAACAGAGAGAGGGCCUCUCUCAGGCUCCCUGAUGAAAACUGAAGCCCACUGGAAAAGUGAAGAGAAUCUCUGCAAUAAAGGCAAACCAGACCACCAUACUUGGUAAGUUGGAGGGAUCAUCACCUCCCAUUGGCACCUGGACUAUCUUCAGGGGAAGGGCAGAUGGAACCUGCAAUGGAACCUUGCAGAGUUCAACCCUGCAGGAGGACAGGGAGCUCACCUUGGGACUUGCAGCCAGAAAUCUGCCUGAAUCCCAUGGGUCUGUGACUGGCUUACUGAGACUCGUUGACUUGUAACUGCACACUGCUGCCCAUGUUGUCUAUUGUGACAGCAGAGACAUACCGUGAAGGAGGCCCUUCAUUUUUAUCUUUUAUUUGUUAUUUUCAAUAUUACCACUAUUUUUUUGCUCUUACUUUUUUUCUUCUUUUUCUACUCUUUUAAAAUUUUUCUUUUUCUCUUCUUUCUUUCUUUUCUCUUUUCUUUCUCUCUCUCUCUCCCUUGCUCCCUUGCUGUCCCACAUUGUUCUUCAUCUCCCUUUGUGUUCCUAUUCUGGCCCUAAUUCGUAUUUCUUCUUUAUUGUUCUUUUCUUCUCUUUCCUUCUCUUGCCUAUGUACUAUGCUGUCUUUGUCACUGGAGCUUUGUAAUAUAACUUGAAAUCCAAGAUUGCACUGCCUCCCGCUUUGCUCUGGUUGCCCAGGAUAGCUUUUGAUGUCCUGGGUCUCUUCUGGUUCCAUAUUAAUUUUGUGAUAGUUUUUUCUGUUUCUGUGAAUAAUGUUAUUCCUAUUUUGAUUAGGAUUGGAUUAAAUCUAUAUAUUAAUUUUGGUAAUAUGGCCAUUUUCACUUUAAGAACUUGUACAUAAAUGUUCAUAGCAGCAAUGAUUCCAAUAGUCCAAAAGUGUAAACAACUCAAAUGUACAUCAAUUACUGAAUGGUUAAGCAAACUGUUGUAAGUCUAUAAAAUGGAAUAUUAUUUAGCAGCAAAAAGGAAUGAAUUACUGAUAGCCAAUGGAUAAGCCUUGAAAACAUUAUGGUAAAUGAAAAAAAAAAUUUUAAAAGGGUCCCAUAUUAUAUGGUCCCACUUAGUAGAAUUAUCCAAAAGCAUAGAGAAACAAACUAGAUUAGUGGUUGCCAAAGGCAAGGGCGAGGGGGAAAUGGGAUGUGACUGCUCCUGGGUAGGAGAUUUCUUUUUGGAGUGAUGGAAAUAUUCUGAGACUACAUUGUUAGAUAUUAGUGAUGUUUGUAUAAUUAUGCAAAUACAUGAAAAACCACUGAAUCUCACAUUUUAAGAGGUUGAAUUUUAUGAUCUGUGAGUUACAUAUCAAUACACCGUUUUAAAAAGCUUAAGGCA
ensembl:lncRNA